rnacentral:snoRNA from 1 species
UGCAAUCAAUGAUAGAUUUUUUUUUCAUAAUUAUUGAUUGAACAGUGAUUAAUACAAAAAUAUCAUCAUCUUUCGGUUGAGAUUGCA